GGUAGCGAAAUUCCUUGUCAGGUAAGUUCUGACCCGCACGAAUGGAGUAAUGAUUUGGGCACUGUCUCGACGAAGAGCUCGGUGAAAGUGCAUUGGCGGUAAAGAUGCCGUCUGUCCGCAGCAGGACGAGAAGACCCCGUGGAGCUUUACUACAGCUUGACAUUGGAUUGGGUUACAACUUGUGCAGUAUAGGUGGGAGACUUUGAAGCCAGGACGCUAGUUCUGGUGGAGUCAUCAGUGAAAUACCACCCUGGUUGUGAUCUUGUUCUUACUCUUGCCGUUAUCCGGCAAGAGGACCGUGUCUGGUGGGUAGUUUAACUGGGGCGGUUGCCUCCUAAAGAGUAGCGGAGGCGUUCAAAGGUUGGCUAGAUUCGGAUGGAAAUCGAAUCGAUAGUGCAAGCGCAUAAGCCAGCUUGACUGUGAGACUUACUAGUCAAACAGAUACGAAAGUAGGAGCUAGUGACCCGUCGUAUCGUCCAGCACCAGUUUUCGGAAACGAGUAAUCUAUACUAGAUUGUGAAGGUUCGGAGAACAGGUGCUGGACAAUGAACGUGGGAUCGACGACGCAAACGGAUAAAAGUUACCCCGGGGAUAACAGGCUUAUAGCGCCCAAUAGUUCACAUAGACGGCGCUGUUUGGCACCUCGAUGUCGGCUCAUCACAUCCUGGAGGUGGAGCAUCUUCCAAGGGUUCGGCUGUUCGCCGAUUAAAGUGGUACGUGAGCUGGGUUCAGAACGUAAAUUACAUUGCGUUCUACCACUGUAAAGUGGUAAUAUGUGUAGUGUGCAUCGCACUAAGCGGUUCGUCCGACCGCACACAUUAAAUUCGACUAAUAACGGUGAAACCCUAUAUAGAUUCCGAACUUUCUAGAGGGCAAUACCGUGGGAAGACAAUUAUAUGUCUGACGAACAAAAAGCUUAUGUAGCAGGAUUUCUCGAUGGCGACGGUUCGAUUAUGGCUCAGUUAGUAUAUCGUAAAGAUUAUAAACUGGGCUAUCAAAUCAGAACCAGCAUAGUUUUCUACCAGAAAAC
rnacentral:rRNA from 1 species